UACGAAGGGUGCAAGCGUUAAUCGGAAUUACUGGGCGUAAAGGGUGCGUAGGCGGUUAUUUAAGUCUGCCGUGAAAUCCCCGGGCUCAACCUGGGAAUGACGGUGGAUACUGGAUAGCUAGAGUGUGUCAGAGGAUGGUGGAAUUCCCGGUGUAGCGGUGAAAUGCGUAGAGAUCGGGAGGAACAUCAGUGGCGAAGGCGGCCAUCUGGGACAACACUGACGCUGAAGCACGAAAGCGUGGGGAGCAAACAGG
rnacentral:rRNA from 1 species